rnacentral:tRNA from 3 species
GAGGCUUAGCUCAGCUGGGAGAGCGUCUGCCUUACAAGCAGAGGGUCGGGGGUUCGAGUCCCUCAGCCUCC